rnacentral:rRNA from 1 species
UACGGGGGGAGCAAGCGUUGUUCGGAUUUACUGGGCGUAAAGGGCGCGUAGGCGGCCACCGCAAGUCGGUUGUGAAAUCUCCGGGCUUAACCCGGAAAGGUCAACCGAUACUGCGGGGCUAGAGUGCAGAAGGGGCAACUGGAAUUCUCGGUGUAGCGGUGAAAUGCGUAGAUAUCGAGAGGAACACCUGCGGCGAAGGCGGGUUGCUGGGCUGACACUGACGCUGAAGCGCGAAAGCCAGGGGAGCGAACGGG